rnacentral:rRNA from 1 species
UACGAAGGGGGCUAGCGUUGCUCGGAAUUACUGGGCGUAAAGCGCACGUAGGCGGAUUGUUAAGUCGGGGGUGAAAUCCUGGAGCUCAACUCCAGAACUGCCUUCGAUACUGGCGAUCUCGAGUUCGGGAGAGGUGAGUGGAACUGCGAGUGUAGAGGUGAAAUUCGUAGAUAUUCGCAAGGACACCAGUGGCGAAGGCGGCUCACUGGCCCGAUACUGACGCUGAGGUGCGAAAGCGUGGGGAGCAAACAGG